GGGUGAAAUCUGGUGUCUUAUUGGGAGGCGGGCUUUGGGCUGUAAGUGUCUCUAAGCUAUGAAGACUUGGGUCUAAAAGAGGAUUAGAUACCCUGUUAUACCAAGUUGAAAUGUUUCACCGGGGUAGUAAAUAGCUAUGGUCUUUAAACUUAAAGAAUUUGGCGGUAUUUCAGUCUUGUCAGAGGAAUCUGUUGUGUAAACGAUAAACCACGCAGUAUCUUACUUUCUCUUGUUUUCAGUUUGUAUACCGCCAUUGGAUAAAUAGGUUUUAUAAGAUUUAUUGGUAUGUCUAGGAGUCAUUAUAUUAGGUCAAGGUGCAGCUAAUGGGAAAGAAAUUAUGGAUUACUCUGUAUUUUAGUAUAUAACGGAUAGGUGGAGGAAGUUCUGUCUUGAAGGUGGAUUUGAUAGUAAGGCUUGUUUAAUAAGCGGGCUUGGUAGUAACUCUGGAAUAUGUA
rnacentral:rRNA from 1 species